CGUACACUCCUACGGGAGGCAGCAGUGGGGAAUUUUAGACAAUGGGCGAAAGCCUGAUCCAGCCAUGCCGCGUGCAGGAUGAAGGCCUUCGGGUUGUAAACUGCUUUUGUACGGAACGAAACGGCCUUUUCUAAUAAAGAGGGCUAAUGACGGUACCGUAAGAAUAAGCACCGGCUAACUACGUGCCAGCAGCCGCGGUAAUACGUAGGGUGCAAGCGUUAAUCGGAAUUACUGGGCGUAAAGCGUGCGCAGGCGGUUAUGUAAGACAGUUGUGAAAUCCCCGGGCUCAACCUGGGAACUGGAUCUGUGACUGCAUAGCUAGAGUACGGUAGAGGGGGAUGGAAUUCCGCGUGUAGCAGUGAAAUGCGUAGAUAUGCGGAGGAACACCGAUGGCGAAGGCAAUCCCCUGGACCUGUACUGACGCUCAUGCACGAAAGCGUGGGGAGCAAACAGGAUUAGAAACCCCAGUAGUCCCA
rnacentral:rRNA from 1 species